AGUGAACGCUGGCGGUAGGCCUAACACAUGCAAGUCGAACGGCAGCACAGGAGAGCUUGCUCUCUGGGUGGCGAGUGGCGGACGGGUGAGGAAUACAUCGGAAUCUACCUUUUCGUGGGGGAUAACGUAGGGAAACUUACGCUAAUACCGCAUACGACCUACGGGUGAAAGUGGGGGACCGCAAGGCCUCACGCGAUUAGAUGAGCCGAUGUCCGAUUAGCUAGUUGGCGGGGUAAUGGCCCACCAAGGCGACGAUCGGUAGCUGGUCUGAGAGGAUGAUCAGCCACACUGGAACUGAGACACGGUCCAGACUCCUACGGGAGGCAGCAGUGGGGAAUAUUGGACAAUGGGCGCAAGCCUGAUCCAGCCAUACCGCGUGGGUGAAGAAGGCCUUCGGGUUGUAAAGCCCUUUUGCUGGGAAAGAAAUCCUGUCGAUUAAUACUCGGUGGGGAUGACGGUACCCAAAGAAUAAGCACCGGCUAACUUCGUG
rnacentral:rRNA from 1 species